rnacentral:misc_RNA from 1 species
GGACUACCCGGGUUUCUAAUCCUGUUCGCUCCCCACGCUUUCGUGCCUCAGUGUCAAUACAGGUCCAGUCAGCUGCCUUCGCAAUCGGUGUUCUAUGGCAUAUCUAAGCAUUUCACCGCUACAUGCCACAUUCCGCCAACCUCAACCUGAUUCAAGCAUCGCAGUAUCAAAAGCAAUUUUACGGUUAAGCCGCAAACUUUCACUUCUGACUUACGUUGCCACCUACGCACCCUUUAAACCCAGUGAUUCCGGAUAACGCUUGCACCCUCCGUAUUACCGCGGCUGCUGGCAC